AUGGGGGUGGAGGCGACGCAGAUGGGCGCGGAACCGGCGGCGCACGGGCGGCUGCUGUGGGCGACCGGCGGCGGGCGGAGGUACAUCAGCUACGACGCGCUAGGGGACGUUGUGUUGUGCUCCCGGCCAGGGGUGCCCUACUACAACUGCCGCAUCAGCACCACCGCCAACCCCUACACCCGCGGCUGCGAGUCCAUCACCCACUGUCGCGAGGACGACCCUUCCUAG
rnacentral:rRNA from 1 species